rnacentral:rRNA from 1 species
ACGGCUCAGUAACACGUGGACAACCUACCCUGAAGAGGGGGAUAACCCCGGGAAACUGGGGAUAAUACCCCAUAGGCUAUGGAUGCUGGAAUGCUCUGUAGUUGAAAGGUCCGCCGCUUCAGGAUGGGUCUGCGGCCGAUUAGGUUGUUGUUGGGGUAACGGCCCAACAAGCCUGUAAUCGGUACGGGUUGUGGGAGCAAGAGCCCGGAGAUGGAUUCUGAGACACGAAUCCAGGCCCUACGGGGCGCAGCAGGCGCGAAAACUUUGCAAUGCGAGCAAUCGUGACAAGGGAACUCCGAGUGCCUGUAAAAUCAGGCUGUCCGCCAGUGUAAAUAACUGGCGAAGAAAGGGCCGGGCAAGACCGGUGCCAGCCGCCGCGGUAAUACCGGCGGCUCGAGUGGUGGCCACUAUUACUGGGCUUAAAGCGUUCGUAGCUGGCUUGUUAAGUCUCUGGGGAAAUCUUCCGGCUUAACCGGAAGGCGUCUCAGGGAUACUGGCAGGCUAGGGACCGGAAGAGGUGAGAGGUACUCCAGGGGUAGGAGCGAAAUCCUGUAGUCCUUGGGGGACCACCUGUGGCGAAGGCGUCUCACCAGAACGGCUCCGACAGUGAGGAACGAAAGCUGGGGGAGCAAACCGGAUUAGAUACCCGGGUAGUCCCAGCUGUAAACGAUGCGCGUUAGGUGUAUCGGUGACCACGAGUCACCGAGGUGCCGAAGAGAAAUCGUGAAACGUGCCGCCUGGGAAGUACGGUCGCAAGGCUGAAACUUAAAGGAAUUGGCGGGGGAGCAC